AUUGAACGCUGGCGGCAGGCCUAACACAUGCAAGUCGAACGGUAACAGGAAGAAGCUUGCUUCUUUGCUGACGAGUGGCGGACGGGUGAGUAAUGUCUGGGAAACUGCCUGAUGGAGGGGGAUAACUACUGGAAACGGUAGCUAAUACCGCAUAAUGUCGCAAGACCAAAGAGGGGGACCUUCGGGCCUCUUGCCAUCGGAUGUGCCCAGAUGGGAUUAGCUAGUAGGUGGGGUAACGGCUCACCUAGGCGACGAUCCCUAGCUGGUCUGAGAGGAUGACCAGCCACACUGGAACUGGGACACGGUCCAGACUCCUACGGGAGGCAGCAGUGGGGAAUAUUGCACAAUGGGCGCAAGCCUGAUGCAGCUAUGCCGCGUGUAUGAAGAAGGCCUUCGGGUUGUAAAGUACUUUCAGCGGGGAGGAAGGGAGUAAAGUUAAUACCUUUGCUCAUUGACGUUACCCGCAGAAGAAGCACCGGCUAACUCCGUG
rnacentral:rRNA from 1 species